rnacentral:rRNA from 1 species
UACGUAGGGUGCAAGCGUUGUCCGGAAUUAUUGGGCGUAAAGAGCUCGUAGGCGGUUUGUCGCGUCGGCUGUGAAAACCCGGGGCUCAACCCCGGGCCUGCAGUCGAUACGGGCAAACUAGAGUGCGGUAGGGGAGACUGGAAUUCCUGGUGUAGCGGUGAAAUGCGCAGAUAUCAGGAGGAACACCGGUGGCGAAGGCGGGUCUCUGGGCCGUAACUGACGCUGAGGAGCGAAAGCGUGGGGAGCGAACAGG